ensembl:lncRNA TRAM2-AS1 TRAM2 antisense RNA 1 (head to head)
CCCGGGGUUGCGGGCUGUGGCCCCGGGGGCUGAGGGCGGCGCGGGUGCGGCGGAAGCAGGGAAGCCGCGAACCGGCCUUCUGGCUGGCCACAGCGCCCUGCACGGACGAUCAGUGAAUGGAGAUUACUCAAGUCCACAGUUAUUUCACUUCUAAAUAAAUAUGGUUUUUUAAAAGUGGCACGCGGUGGAAUGUAAUUGAGACAGGAUGGAGUUCCUAGAGAAAUUUUACUUCCUCAAUCUGCACUCCACCUUACUUAAAAUACAGUCUUGGGUCUGUAAUUCCCUUAUCUGACUCUCAAGGAAAUGACAAAGUAAUGCCUAGAUUGGACUAAACCUCAUUUAACUUCAAGGCUGACCUUUCUCAAAGUUGAACCUUCGUCUUGUGAGGAACAGAAAGAUCAAGAACUCUGAAGCACCUCGACUUUCCACCUGUGAAGAUGUGUUCAAAUUUGCAACGUGCGGCCACACCUAUGAGGCAGGAGUGCAGUGGCGAGAUCUGGACUCACUGCAACCUCUGCCUCCUGGCUUCAAGCAAUUCUCAUGCUUCAGCCUGUAGCUGGAACUACAGGUCACUCCCUCUGGAGGAAACCAGCUGCCACUUUGUGAGGAUACUCAUAGUCCUGUGGAGGCAUAUCCUCCAUAUGGCUGAGACCUCCUGCGAACAACCAUCACUGACUUGCCAGACAUGAGUGUGCCACCUUGGAAGCAGAUUUUCCAGCCCCAGUUAAGCCUUCAGAUGACAUCAGCCCCUGCUAAUCUCUUGACUACAACCUCAUGAGAGACCCUGAGCCAGAACUAGCCAGGCUUACCCCUCAUGGUUACAAAGUGGCUGCAACAGCUCCAGGUGUUCUAUCCUUUAACACAGAAUAACUCAAACAACAAGACCCAAUAUUCAGACAAGAAGGAAAGGGACUUUUGGAGAGUGAAGAAAACUUUCCUAGAAACCUCAAACUUCUCCCCAUGCCUUAUUGGCCAGAUUGUAUCCCAUGCCCAUUUCUAAACCAAUCAUUGGCAAAGUGAGUGGAAUUGACGUGAUUAGAUUAACUUUACCAAGAAUGCAUCCUCAGAGAGGCUGAGAAAAAGUCCAGCCUCCUUUGAAGAGCCUGGCUACCUUUCACCUGAACAAAACAAGAAUUCUGAUGAAAAAUGGAGAAUGUAUGUGGAGCAGGCACCCGGAGUGUCUAUGCCAGGAUUUUUUUUCAGUGCGUUUCACCGGUUAUAUUUUUGUCUCUUUACCUUACAAGAUAUGUGGCACGUUUGCCUAAAACAAGCCUUGCUUUCUGAUUUCUGUGCACUAGGCACUUAAACCUUGCAAAUGUCGCUUACCUAACAGUCACUGUCAAGGAGUACCUGGCUAAAGAAUCUCCAGCUAGACAAAGUAGAAGUGUCUGUGCUCUGGCAGUUGAAUAUAUUGUAUCAGGCUCAACAGCACCUUUCACCAAAGGAUGAGACUUCACAACCAUUAGAUCUUCUUUUAUUUUGUUUUUAUUAAAAAAAAAAAUUUUAACACACCAUUGCUAACUUGAAGCCAUUAGAUCUUCUUACCCCCAAUACCACAAAAGUUUAGUGGAAUCAGGGGUAUACCAAGGCAGGUGGAGUAGGGGAGCUGGGAGUGGUCAGCCCCCAGGGCAGGCAAUGAGGGAUUGUGAAUCUGUGAAGAAUUUUAAAGCAAUGAUACAGCUCUAAAUGCAAUGUACUAUCCUGGACUUAGCCCUGGAAAAGAAAAAAGAUAUUAGUGGAAAAACUGGUAAAAUUCAAAUAAUGUCUGUAGUUUGGUUAAUAGUAUUAUACCAAUGUUAAUUUCUGUGUUUUGAUAAAUGUACCAUGGUUAUGUAAGCUGGAUGAAAGAUAUGUGGGAAAUCUCUCUACUAUUUCUGCAACUCUCCUGUAAACCUAAAAAUGUUUCAAAAUAAAA